CGGGUGAGUAACACGUGGGCAACCUGCCCCUAGCACUGGGAUAACUCCGGGAAACCGGGGCUAAUACCGGAUAUGACCUUUGACGGCAUCGUCGAGGGUGUAAAGGAUUCUGGCUAGGGAUGGGCCCGCGGCCUAUCAGCUUGUUGGUGGGGUAAUGGCCUACCAAGGCGACGACGGGUAGCCGGCCUGAGAGGGCGACCGGCCACACUGGGACUGAGACACGGCCCAGACUCCUACGGGAGGCAGCAGUGGGGAAUCUUGCACAAUGGGCGAAAGCCUGAUGCAGCGACGCCGCGUGAGGGAUGACGGCCUUCGGGUUGUAAACCUCUUUCAGCAGGGACGAAGCGAAAGUGACGGUACCUGCAGAAGAAGCACCGGCCAACUACGUGCCAGCAGCCGCGGUAAUACGUAGGGUGCAAGCGUUGUCCGGAAUUAUUGGGCGUAAAGAGCUCGUAGGCGGUUUGUCGCGUCGGCUGUGAAAACCUGGGGCUCAACCCCGGGCCUGCAGCCGAUACGGGCAAACUAGAAUUCGGUAGGGGAGACUGGAAUUCCUGGUGUAGCGGUGAAAUGCGCAGAUAUCAGGAGGAACACCGGUGGCGAAGGCGGGUCUCUGGGCCGAUAUUGACGCUGAGAGCG
rnacentral:rRNA from 1 species